rnacentral:rRNA from 1 species
AGAGUUUGAUCCUGGCUCAGGACGAACGCUGGCGGCGUGCUUAACACAUGCAAGUCGAACGGAAAGGCCCUUCGGGGUACUCGAGUGGCGAACGGGUGAGUAACACGUGGGUGAUCUGCCCUGCACUUUGGGAUAAGCCUGGGAAACUGGGUCUAAUACCGGAUAGGACCACACACUUCAUGGUGAGUGGUGCAAAGCUUUUGCGGUGUGGGAUGAGCCCGCGGCCUAUCAGCUUGUUGGUGGGGUAAUGGCCCACCAAGGCGACGACGGGUAGCCGGCCUGAGAGGGUAACCGGCCACACUGGGACUGAGAUACGGCCAGACUCCUACGGGAGGCAGCAGUGGGGAAUAUUGCACAAUGGGCGCAAGCCUGAUGCAGCGACGCCGCGUGAGGGAUGACGGCCUUCGGGUUGUAAACCUCUUUCAGCACAGACGAAGCGCAAGUGACGGUAUGUGCAGAAGAAGGACCGGCCAACUACGUGCCAGCAGCCGCGGUAAUACGUAGGGUCCGAGCGAUGUCCGGAAUUACUGGGCGUAAAGAGCUCGUAGGUGGUUUGUCGCGUUGUUCGUGAAAACUCACAGCUUAACUGUGGGCGUGCGGGCGAUACGGGCAGACUUGAGUACUGCAGGGGAGACUGGAAUUCCUGGUGUAGCGGUGGAAUGCGCAGAUAUCAGGAGGAACACCGGUGGCGAAGGCGGGUCUCUGGGCAGUAACUGACGCUGAGGAGCGAAAGCGUGGGGAGCGAACAGGAUUAGAUACCCUGGUAGUCC